AUCUAUGGCCAUACUACUCUGACCACACCUGAUCUCAUCUCACCUUCGAAGCUAAGUAGGGUUGUGCCUGGUUAGUACUUGGAUGGGAGACCUCCUGGGAAUACUGGGUGAUGUAGGCU
ensembl:rRNA 5S_rRNA 5S ribosomal RNA